rnacentral:rRNA from 1 species
UGGGGAAUAUUGCACAAUGGGCGAAAGCCUGAUGCAGCAACGCCGCGUGAGUGAUGAAGGUCUUCGGAUUGUAAAGCUCUGUCUUUUGGGACGAUAAUGACGGUACCAAAGGAGGAAGCCACGGCUAACUACGUGCCAGCAGCCGCGGUAAUACGUAGGUGGCGAGCGUUGUCCGGAUUUACUGGGCGUAAAGGGUGCGUAGGCGGAUGUUUAAGUGAGAUGUGAAAUACCCGGGCUUAACUUGGGUGCUGCAUUUCAAACUGGAUAUCUAGAGUGCAGGAGAGGAGAAUGGAAUUCCUAGUGUAGCGGUGAAAUGCGUAGAGAUUAGGAAGAACACCAGUGGCGAAGGCGAUUCUCUGGACUGUAACUGACGCUGAGGCACGAAAGCGUGGGUAGCAAACAGGAUUAGAUACCCUGGUAGUCCACGCCGUAAACGAUGAGUACUAGGUGUAGGAGGUAUCGACCCCUUCUGUGCCGCAGUAAACACAUUAAGUACUCCGCCUGGGA